rnacentral:rRNA from 1 species
AACGUAGGUGGCGAGCGUUAUCCGGAAUUACUGGGCGUAAAGCGCGUUCAGGCGGUUUGGCAAGUCGGGCAUGAAAUCUCUCGGCUCAACCGGGAGAGGUUGUCCGAUACUGCUGGACUUGAGGGCAGUAGAGGGUGGUGGAAUUCCGGGUGUAGUGGUGAAAUGCGUAGAUAUCCGGAGGAACACCAGUGGCGAAAGCGGCCACCUGGACUGCACCUGACGCUGACACGCGAAAGCUAGGGGAGCGAACGGG